GGGGUUACAGCUCAGUGGUAGAGCACUUGCCUCACAUGCAUGAGACACUUGGUUCGAUCCUUAGCACCA
rnacentral:tRNA from 1 species